rnacentral:misc_RNA from 1 species
UUAUUUUAUUGUAAAAGAAAAUACUCAAAACAAUAAUAUAUUCUUUUAGCAUUGACAAUUCUAUUGUAUGACUCUUCAAAACAUGAUGCUUCUUGAUCAAUAGAGGACCCGCAAGAAGCAUGACACUUCCAUUUUUAGCCAGACUUGUAGCCCUUCCAAAUUGCAUGAAGAAUGAUUGGAGACAAGGGGAAUGCAUGUAUUUCAGGUUUUUCCAACAGUAUUUCGUUAUAAAGAUUGAUUGAACUCUUCAAUUUCACACCAUUUGAACCAUGUCUUGAGAAAACCAAGGCCCCCAAGAACCGAAGUUCAAGAUAAUAUAGGCAUGUUAAUGUUUUGCAACUUCUCCAUAAGAGUACAUGCAAAAGGUAAAAGGUUGUUCUUAGUACUAAAAUGCAAAAGAAAAUGUAGGAAAGAUGACAGAAAAGAUUAAAUUCCAAGAGUUCAAUCCACAAACUGAACAGCCAACCAUGGCUAGCUACCCUGACUCGAUUAAUACAAGAGAGUACUGUUUACUCCUUCUUCCUAGAAUCCUUCUGUUGUCCUUUCUUUCGAAUCCCAAGGCAAAAGCGGAGUCGCCAUGCAUCAAUAAUGGAUUCAGGCAAUGCAUAUAACAAGCCCCAAAGAAGAGAAUGGGGCCAGUAAGGUGUGCAACGAGGUUCAUGGCCUAUCCAUCGCAAACCUGCCCGGGCAUAGCCAUCUGUUGAUGGAAUGAAGAAGGAAGAUCUCCUAAUUGAUGCCAUCUUUGUUGCCACAUAGAGUGGAACCUGACACUGCACAUCGAUCCCACUUUUCUUGUAUUCAACAUAAAGGCACCUGGAGAACUGAUCUAUAUACGCUUUGGUGGCAGCAUAAACCGCAUAGAGAGGAUCAGAAGGAAUGACAAUUGCUGCACCAGAACCGAUAUUAACUAUAGCACCCUUCUUCCUCUUCAACAUCCCAGGCAAAACAGCUUGUGUAACUUUAGUCGUGCCUUCCACAUUUACCUUAAUCAAGUUCUUCAACAACUCCUCAUCCACUUCAUGGAAAAACCUCGCGUAGGGAUAUGAAACCCCAACGUUAUUAAUCAAGACACCAACAUCCAAUCCUUCAAUAGUCUCCUGAAUUUUCUUAACACCCUCAUUGAUAUCGCCGCUGAAAUCAACAACAACGGUCUUGAUUUGGACCUUGCCAUAUUUGGACUGAAUAGAAUCCGAAACAUCUUUGAGCUUAUCGGGAUUUCGACCAACCAAUACCAGAUUGAUACCCUUUCGAGCCAAUUGAAAAGCGAAACCUUUGCCAAUACCGUCAGUAGGUCCGGUUACGAGAGCCCAUGAUCCAUAUUUCUUCAGAUUCUUGGCCGGCCUGAGGAAAUUGACGUAAACCCAUUUGAGGAAAGCGAAGAAGAAUUUCAAAACUGAUAAAGAACCCAUAGUGAAUAACACAAGAAGCCAGUAAGGCUGUUCUUUGAGCUUAUCUACAAAACAAAGCUCCAUUUUGGAGAGCAACUGUUUUCUUCGAUCUAAAAUGAAAAGAGAGAGAUCUGGGAAGUGGGUUUUGCUCAAGAAAGAAUAAUAUAGACAAAAAAGAGAGUAUCCCUGUUCCUAUAUUGGAUUUUGAGUUUGGUGGGAAUGGGUGAGAAUUGACUACACAAACGGUAGCUAACAAAGAAAAACAGAGGGCGAAGUGAAGCAGAGAAGAAGUAGGGUUAGGCAGAAACAGUUUAGAGUGAGAGAUUUAUUAAGAUUUGAAAUGGGCAGAGGGUGGCAAAGUAGAUGAGCUGAAAACCACCGCAUUUAACAACUAUUGAUGAACAGCCAUACCAGAACAAGAGGACAGGACCUCUGCUUCCUUCUUUCGAGUAAAUUGCAUUGUCCCCUUUUUUUUU